UACGUAGGGUGCGAGCGUUAAUCGGAAUUACUGGGCGUAAAGCGUGCGCAGGCGGUUUUGUAAGCCAGAUGUGAAAUCCCCGGGCUUAACCUUUGAAUGUCAGUGGAUACUGCCGGGCUAGAGUCCGGAAGAGGCGAGUGGAACUCCUGGUGUAGCGGUGGAAUGCGCAGAUAUCAGGAAGAACACCAACGGCGAAGGCAGCUCGCUAGGACGGUACUGACGCUGAGACGCGAAAGCGUGGGGAGCGAACAGG
rnacentral:rRNA from 1 species